UUUCCGUAGGUGAACCUGCGGAAGGAUCAUUAUUGUAUAACCGAGGUGCGAGGGCUGUCGCUGACCCGAAAGGUCGUGCACGCCCGAGUGCCCUCACACACAUCCAUCUCACCCCUAUGUGCACCACCGCGUGGGUCCCCCUUUGGCUUGUUCGGAGGGGGGCUUACGUUUUCACACAAACUUUGUAUGCAGUGUAGAAUGUAUUUUUUGUUUUUGCGAUCACGCAAUCAAUACAACUUUCAACAACGGAUCUCUUGGGUCUCGCAUCGAUGAAGAACGCGGC
rnacentral:misc_RNA from 1 species